GCGUCUGAGGCGCGGGUGUCGCGCGGGUCUGUGCUGUCGGCUGAAGUGGCUCUGCCAGGCGCUCCGGACCGCACGGUCAGGCAGUGAGCGUGACCGGGGCACGGGGUGUUCCGUGCGAGGCGCCGCGGGACUGCGAAGAGACAGGCGGCGGUCGGGAAACGUGAGUGGAUUUGGGAUGCCCGGCGCCGCCUCCUGUCCCCAGAGCGCUGGCCCAGGCGACCCUGCUCUGAUGGCGGCGACGUCCGUCCCUGGCCGCUCAGGGCAGGGAGGCCUGGGACUGCGGAGCGCGGAGCACCGGCCUCGGUCGUGGAGGAGAAAAAAAAAAAAAACCGGAUCUACUUGGACACCCGGCUCGGAUUUGCUUCCCGCAGCGGGUGCCGCGGAGGCGAAGUAACUUGCUUAAAAUGGGGCCACUGGUGAGGACCAACGAAGAGGCGGUGCGCAGACGCGAUGUUACACUGCGCAACUUAAUGCAUCCGUCCCUGCGCUCUUGUCGGAAUACUACCGCCUAGCCCUUCCAGGUGCUUCGGUGCAGGGCUUCGUGUAGUGGAGGAUUAGGUUACGCCGCACGGAGCAGCGCGUCUGUCCCUGCCUCUUGGGGGUCACGGGACUUGCCAGCCGCGGACACCCCGGGAGUCACUCGCGAGAAUUAACUAUUUAGGAAGCUUGCUUCAGGAAAGGAACAUUCCUAGAGCGAUGGUUCUUAACCUUUUCGGUGGGGGAGGGGUUUAUGGCUGUUGAGCAUUUGAAAACCUAAAGGUUUGUGCAUCCGUGGGUGCUUGUAGAGGACAAGUUCGCAUACGAUUUCCCGUGCGUGGGAGCCCUCCCUAAAAGCCCAUCCUCGGACCACUGUGUUAGGGACUCCUUAUCCAGCUCGAUUGCACACACAAGGGUUAAAGAAAGGUGGUCCCUCGGGCGCCUAGGUGGCUCGGCUUUUGAGUUCAGCUCGGGUCAUGAUCUCCAGCCCCGCCAUCAGGCUCUGUGCUGACAGCUCAGAGCCUGGAGCCUGCUUCAGAUUCUGUCCCCCCACUCUCUCUGCCCCUCCCCCACUCGCAUUCUGUCUCACUCAAUAAACAUUUUUUAAAAAUUAAAACAAAAACCAGUGGUCCCUGCGUUGGCCAUUUAAAAGAAAGCCUGAUGUAUUCCCUGCCCUUAACGGUGACUUCCCCUAGGAAUCCAAAAAGGUAGAUGUUGCCAGAUGUUUGGUUUUCCCCCAGAGGAUAGAUAAUGAAAAAAAUGUCCAGCCAGGAAACUGGAUUAGUUGUUGCCUGACUUUGUCUCACUGUCCUUGUUAAUUGUAUGUGUAACUAGUCCAAGAACGUUGACUAAUCAUGUGUCAUCGCGUGGGCUCUAAUGCUGUGCUCAUUAGUGGUUUUGUUUUUAUCAGUUUUUGCAGUACAGCUCCUUCUGGGUGAUAUGUGACUUAUCAGAGCUAUCCGUUUGGUUAGUGCCGGAACCCAGGUCUCACUUCAGCCUGACGUCCCAUUCCACAAGCCCUUUCAACAACCGUCGAACAGCUGCCUAUGUUGGGGACUCCACAGAUGUUUGGUGCCGAGCCAGGUGGCCACUCAUGUCUGCCGUCUGUCCCAGACAUCAGUACAAAAGGAUUAAGACAAACUGCUACAUCUUGUACAGCUGUUACUUAUUUUCUCGUGAUGCUUUACGGUCUCUGAAAAAGCAGUAGCGGUAUUUAGCAUGUUUAAAAAAAUGCUCAAAAUACCGUGAAUUGUAUAGAGUAGCCUAUCGUAUCACGUUUCUGGGAACAAGAUUUUGCCAACAAGAAUUAAAAGAAUGAGAGAAAACCGUCAGGAGAUACUGUGGCCCAAUGAUGGCAGAGGCAAAAAUUGUUCUGGGCUCUGAAGCGGGAGAGAUCCCCGCAGAGGGCGUGAUGAAGGACGCGUUCUCAGCACUGGGGCUGAGUGGCCUGCAAGGUGAAUGGGUUUCGCGUACGUGGAAAGGGGGCAGAGGUGGCGACGGAACGGUGAAGUGACUAAGGUGCACGAGUCUUCGAGACAAAGCCAGAGAGAGGCUGCACAAGAGCACGUCCGCCACGUCUUUGCAGAGAUCCGGCUUGCUUCCAUUUCCCGCCAUGUCUAACGUGUUUGGAAUAAGACGCUUUUCUCCUUUCUGGUCACUGGUGCCUCCGAGUGAUCAACAGUGUCGAGGUUUGCUGAGCGCAGGCGCUUUCCUAGAUGCAGCCGAGGAUGGUGCCUGGCCUGCCUCUGAGGACUCUUCGGAAUAACGUAAUGCAAACGCGCUGUGAGACUUGUCCUCAACCAGCCCACAGUCUUCCUGCACCUGGUCUGUCGUGGCGCCUCCAAGUUGACGUGCUUGGAUCCUUCAUCUGUUUUUGUGGCUCGCCUUCUCUCAUUCUUGGCCUUCUUUCUGCCUGUCCACCUGCCACCCCUGCCACAUACUUUUUCUCCGAGUCUGUGGCUUUCGGGGACUCUUCUGGUAGGGAGGAGGAGAGGGAUAGAUGCAUACGCGUUUAGCAGUGAACAAAUAAAUGCCUGCACGUGAUGUAACUGCCAUGUGACCUAAGGUCGCAUCACGUGGAGUAUAGUACUUGAAACAAGGGAGGUGGUCUCUUCUGACUCUUGAGUAGGCGCGAGGUGGCAUAGAGGGUAGAGGUUAAGAAUGCAGGGCUCUGGAGACAGGCUGCCUACAUUUCAGGACCAGCUUUCAUUUCCUAACUUGGUGGCCUUGAGCAACAUACUUAACUUCCAUGUCUGUUUCCUCAUUUCCAAUAUGGGGAACAAUAAUAGUAAUCUUAUCUGAUGGAGUUGUUGGCAUUAAAUUGAAGUUCUGUAAUUGAAGUGCUUAGAAGGGAGCCUGGCACAUAAGUACUCCAUAAAAGUUAGUUUUUACAGUUGUCGGUUCCUGGAAGCAUUCUUUAAAGAAGCGUGCAGACGCAGUGUGGCCGACUUCGAGGGUGUGACUGUGGGGGUAAGGGGACAGGCCAUGCGCUCCAAGUGAAGGCCGCAGGAAUCAGGGAGGCCGAGACUAGAAAAGAAAACUCAAGAGGAUGUACGUUUUUUUUCAGAGAUCUGUGGACGUCUCCUCUUGUGUUUGUCAUCUGUCACAGUGUGUAUGGCCCCAAAGUGAUGGCCUUUGUAAUAGUCUUGGAGGAGGUGAAGGAGGCAGGGGGGAUAGGGGUGACAGGUGUAUUUCCAUGAUCACGUCAGAGUCCAGAUUCCAGUUCUGUCCUCACCACGUUUGACCUGCAGCUUUACUCACAUCUUUGGUAGCUCAGUUUAUUGAUCUGUAAAAUGGAAAUAAUAAUGACUUGUGCUGUUUUCAUGGAAAGAGGUGACAGGGAUGCUAGCGGUUUGUAGUGGGGCAGCAGGGUACCUGCAGGUGUCCGAGAUCUGGCCCUCAGCCUGGCAGGUGUAAGCUUCUGUUAGUAACUUGCCCACAGGCGAUUUUGGCGACAGACUGAUGCUAAUUUCUCUCUUUCAGCGCUGGAGUAGUGGCCCCCCAAAAGAUGUAUCCAUGGUCCUCGUUUCCAAAUAAAGUAGCAUUUACAAA